rnacentral:rRNA from 1 species
CCUACGGGAGGCAGCAGUGGGGAAUAUUGCACAAUGGAGGAAACCCUGAAGCAGCGACGCAGCGUGAGUGAAGACGGAUUUCGGUACGUAAAGCUCUUUCAGCAGGGAAGUAAAUGACGCUACCUGUCUAAUAAGCCCCGGCUAACUACGUGCAAGCAGCCGCGGUAAUACGUAGGGGGCAAGCGUUAUCCGGAUUUACUGGGUGUAAAGGGAGCGUAGGCGGCAGCGUAAGUCGGUAGUGAAAUCCCAGGGCUUAACCAUGGAACUGCUUUUGAAACUGUGCAGCUGGAGUGCAGUAGAGGUGAGCGGAAUUCGUGGUGUAGCGGUGAAAUGCGUAGAUAUGAGGAGGAACACCAGUGGCGAAGGCGGCUUACUGGACUGUAACUGACGUUGAGGCUCGAAAGCGUGGGGAGCAAACAGGAUUAGAUACCCGAGUAGUC